rnacentral:rRNA from 1 species
UACGUAGGGUCCGAGCGUUGUCCGGAAUUAUUGGGCGUAAAGAGCGUGUAGGCGGCCAGGUAGGUCUGCUGUGAAAACUCGAGGCUCAACCUCGAGCUGUCGGUGGAAACUUUCUGGCUAGAGUCCGGAAGAGGAGAAUGGAAUUCCUGGUGUAGCGGUGAAAUGCGCAGAUAUCAGGAAGAACACCCGUGGCGAAGGCGGUUCUCUGGGACGGUACUGACGCUGAGACGCGAAAGCGUGGGGAGCGAACAGG